GUGAAAGUCUCUUUCUCAUUUUGUAGGCUGAAGUUUCGGAGUAUCUGGUAUCAGAGUGACAACGGUUUUAUCAUGGGACAGCUAAGUUCGCGACCGAACAAAGCGUCUAAUGAGUGUAUACUCGAACCCUGUACAUUACUCAGUUACACCACCAACACUGCGGAGAACCAACCUCAGUGGGUUGAUGAGACGCCUGUUGGUUGUGAGAGUGAUGGAGGGAGAGAGGAGAAAAGGAGGAGAACAAGAUUCUGGAAGUGGCCCGGUCUCAACUUUCCCAGAUCUGCAAAAUACGACCUGGUUCAGGCUGAGAAAGACUAUCAGAAUGAGGCCGGAUUAUACCGAAAACUUUCAAAUAUAGCUCCAACUUUUGAAGUCCGCCCUGCUGCUGAGGAACAGCUGAAGCAGGGCAUCCUAGACAAUGCCCACAUUUGCAGCCAUUAUAAAGUUGGCAACAAGCUGGGCGAAGGAGGAUUUGGCUCUGUGUAUGCAGGGACUCGAUGCAAGGAUGGACUUGAGGUGGCUGUGAAAUAUUCAGUGAAGAUGCCAGACAUGCCAUAUAUCAAAGUGCCUGGUCAUCCCAAACGCCUCCCCUUGGAGAUCGGCCUGAUGUUGAUGGCCAAUAAGGGCCCCAGCGUUCCUCAAAUAAUUCAACUGCUGGACUGGCAGGAUGACGCAGACCACUGCAUCAUGGUCAUGGAGCGGCCCUUGCCUUGCAUGGACAUGUUUAGUUUCAUGGAGCUCCAAGGAGGAAGCCUCAAUGAGGGGAUAGCACGACGUGUUAUGCGACAGGUCAUACACGCCGCUAACGUUUGCUGUGAGCGUGGUGUAUUCCAUCGGGACAUCAAACCGGAGAACCUCCUGGUGAACCAGGACACCAUGGAGGUUAAAUUGAUUGACUUUGGGUGCGGUGCGCUCAUGAAGAAAUCUGCCUUCAAAGUCUUCAAUGGCACAGAAGGUUACUGUCCACCAGAGGUCGAAUACAACGGCAAGUACCAUGCAAAGCCGACGACAGUGUGGUCACUUGGGGUCCUCCUGUUCAUAAUGGUGUGCGGAGGUUAUCCCACAGCAGACGACCUGUUCAUGAUCUAUGCCAACAUCUGGACCAGUCCUGGUCUGUCACAAGAAUGCUGCAAUAUGAUUUGUGCUUGUCUGCACCCUCAACCACAGAAGAGACUCGCUCUGGAGAAGAUGCAUCUUCAUGACUGGUUAAAGGUCAUGGAAUAAGACAUGGAGAACAUCAGCAAACAACUCCUGUCACGCCAUCCUGUUGUUCUGUCUUCAGUCAGCUUUGUGUCUGGCAGGCUGACAUGAAUGGCGUUUACAUCCUUCCACUUGGGCCAUAGAGUCUUGCGGGGCCUGCAAGUCCUAGUGCCCACCUCCCAUGCGGACGGGCUUGGAGCGGGCAGGUGCAAACUAGAGGGGCAGCCAAGAGCAGCCAGCAGCGAAGUCCCCCGUUCCCUGCUCCUCCCCAUCAUGGUGGACGGCAGCAGGCUCUGGCCCAUGGCGAACGACGGCGACUCUUCCGCUCCCUUUUCGGAUGGCAGCCACCCCAUUUCGACCCAGGAACACGGCAGCGAGCUCUCCGUCCUACCUGUUGUAUCAUCGCUCCAGCACCACUGCCUCGGGCAGCCACUCGUGGUCUUCACUCUUCUGUGCUGCCUGACCUCCUCAGCACUGCAAUCCCCCUCAGCAGCGAGGGCUGUCCGACAGCAUGUCCCUCCUUCCUCCCGGUUUUCGGCACCAAUGUAACGCAGUUUGUGUAUACGGGAAGAAGGAGGCAGGAACCGGCGAACGUGAGAGAUACAAGACCGGUGCAGUGCUCAGGUGGCGCUCCUUAGCAAAUCACGCCACCAGCCUCGCUCCGUUCUCUCAUGGCUCUCGCCCCACCCUGCUUGUCACUGUAUAUAUAUAUAAAAAAUUGUAAAACAUUUUUUCUUUUAUUGUUAAUAUUUAUGUACAAUAAAUAUGUAUUUUUAUUGCACUGUUAGAGUUUCAUAGUACUUUGCCCUGACAUAGUUGCCUUUGAGGCUCUUAUAGAAGUUAUUUCUGUU